rnacentral:rRNA from 1 species
CUACGGGAUGCAGCAGUGAGGAAUAUUGCACAAUGGGGGGAACCCUGAUGCAGCAACGCCGCGUGGAGGAUGACGCAUUUCGGUGUGUAAACUCCUUUUAUAUGUCAAGAAAAUGACGGUAGCAUAUGAAUAAGCACCGGCUAACUCCGUGCCAGCAGCCGCGGUAAUACGGAGGGUGCAAGCGUUACUCGGAAUCACUGGGCGUAAAGGACGCGUAGGCGGGUUGGAAAGUCAGGUGUGAAAUCCUACAGCUUAACUGUAGAACUGCACUUGAAACUUCUAAUCUAGAGUAUGGGAGGGGAGAUGGAAUUAGUGGUGUAGGGGUAAAAUCCGUAGAUAUCACGAGGAAUACCUAAAGCGAAGGCGAUCUCCUGGAACAUUACUGACGCUAAGGCGUGAAAGCGUGGGGAGCAAACAGGAUUAGAUACCCUAGUAGUC